rnacentral:lncRNA from 1 species
AAAAGGGCUUUGGGCUCCAUCUGCCUCAAGCCCAAGUCCAUAACCCAUCAAGACUAAAUGCUUUGGGCUCCAUCUCCAUCAAGCCCAAACCCACUUGGCAAAAAUCACCCCCCAUCUCCAUCAUAAGCCCAAGCCCACUUAGUAAAAAUCACCCUCAAGCCCAUUAGCAGCCACAAGCUCCUCCUGUACAGGCUUGCAGCCUGUCAUUCUCCUCGUCGCCGCCGGCGAGGAGCCUCGGCUCAACGUCACAGGUGGGGACCGGCCCCGCCUUCCCCUAAGGGUCGCGGUCCAUUCUCAUGAUGCAUGCAAGGGACGACGUCGCAUCUCCGCUGCUGCCAACGCCACUGCCACCAAGGACGACGUCGCUGACGUGAUCCCACUCGGACUCGAACUGCUCCAUUUGCGGCGUCCUCAGGCACCAGCAGAAGUUUGGAGCUUCGUGAGGUGCUCCGCCGCUUCUUGGAGACGCCCAGCUAGGCGCGGACGGCGAGUUCCCUGCUGCGGAGGGUCACGGGCUGAGGCAUCGGGCACACGAGAAGAAUGAAGAGGGGUUUUGGGCUGGAAUAUUCAAGAAACUGUGAGGUAUUUACGGAAGAAAUUGAAGACGGUGGUUUUGGAAGGGAAAGUCAUUAAUGGGUUUGCAUUGCAGUGGGAGAGAAGG